AUAAAAGCUGUGAAGGGAAGAAGUCGUGGAUUUCUUUACAGAGAGCCAUUGGUGCUGGAAAAUGGCAGGAAAGAAUCGAUAAGUCACCCCGGAGCUGACUCUAAGUCCGCCGCGCACGUUACGCGCUAAUGAGAGAUCAUUUCUUAAUGAUUAUUUAGGUGGUACCGCGGAAGCACUCUUUCGUCCUAUAG
rnacentral:ncRNA from 1 species